UAGGGAAUCUUCGGCAAUGGGGGCAACCCUGACCGAGCAACGCCGCGUGAGUGAAGAAGGUUUUCGGAUCGUAAAGCUCUGUUGUAAGAGAAGAACGUGUGUGAGAGUGGAAAGUUCACACAGUGACGGUAACUUACCAGAAAGGGACGGCUAACUACGUGCCAGCAGCCGCGGUAAUACGUAGGUCCCGAGCGUUGUCCGGAUUUAUUGGGCGUAAAGCGAGCGCAGGCGGUUUAAUAAGUCUGAAGUUAAAGGCAGUGGCUUAACCAUUGUUCGCUUUGGAAACUGUUAAACUUGAGUGCAGAAGGGGAGAGUGGAAUUCCAUGUGUAGCGGUGAAAUGCGUAGAUAUAUGGAGGAACACCGGUGGCGAAAGCGGCUCUCUGGUCUGUAACUGACGCUGAGGCUCGAAAGCGUGGGGAGCAAACAAG
rnacentral:rRNA from 1 species